rnacentral:piRNA from 1 species
UGAACUUCUGUAGUGCUUAGCCUUUC